GUCCUAUAUAGAUGUAAUCAACGCAAGCCAGUUGAGCAUCUCCCUGUAGGACGAAGUUUAUUAGAAGCCCUGACAACAAUUCUUAUUGUGUGGCUGUGGCUGUAGCUACGGUCGAAAUGAGAUGAGUUAGGGUGGAGUAGGUUAACCGUAAGACCUUGGGUUGAAAAAUUCUAAAAUGGAGCUAGAGAUAUGGAUUUCUUAAAUUUUGUAUUUUCUGGUUACGGUCGG
rnacentral:sRNA from 12 species